rnacentral:lncRNA from 1 species
AACAUUUUCUUCUUUUAUGUGGUUAGGAUGUUUACACUAAUUAGAGAUUGAUGAGAGAAUGGAACACCAUAGAGACAAUCUGAGACACCCUUUGAAGCCAUGAAGUGUUGAUUAAGAUUUUUAAAAAUUUUCUGUAUAGUUAAAGAGAUGAUAGAGCUAAAUUCAUUCAAGUGAACCUACCCAGAUUUUGCCACUUAUUACAUAAUAAUUGAUAACAUAAUGAUUGCAUAAUAAAAAUAUAGCAUUCAUUUAAAAGAUUGAUCUUUUAUCUAUCUAUAUAUACUUCUUUUU